GAAGAGAGAGUUCAAGAGUACGUGAAACCGUCUGGGAGUAAACGGGUGGUUCCCGAAAGUGCGAAAGGGGAGAUUCAGGUCUCGCCGCGCGCCGGGCCGCUCCCGCGACGGGGAUGGCGUUUUCGCGGCCGUGGGGCGACCCUCGGCCCGGGANNNGCGCCACCCCGCGGGAGCGGUGUCUUUCCCGGCGUCGGAGUGACGCACUUCUCCCCCGGUAGAACGUCGCGAUCCGUCGGCCGCCGGCCUAAGGUCCCGGGCGGAGCCUGGCGCGGUCUUCCGCGCCGGACCCCGGGGAUCCCGGCCGGGUGCCCGACGGUACGAAGAGAGGAAGGAGUCGGCGCGCCUCUCUCGCGGGCGUCCGCCCCUCCGCAAGCGCUCGAGGGAGUCGGAGGUAUCCGGGCCCGGCCCGGCCUCCUUCUUCCGCGGGGCUGUUUGCGAUACGGAGGUGUGCUCGGAC
rnacentral:rRNA from 1 species